rnacentral:rRNA from 1 species
UACGUAGGGGGCGAGCGUUGUCCGAAGUUACUGGGCGUAAAGCGCGCGUAGGCGGCCCUUUAAGUCUGCUGUGAAAGUCGGAGGCUCAACCUUCGAAAGCCGGUGGAUACUGUGAGACUUGAGUACGGAAGAGGAGAGUGGAAUUCCUGGUGUAGCGGUGAAAUGCGCAGAUAUCAGGAGGAACACCAACGGCGAAGGCAGCUCUCUGGGACGUUACUGACGCUGAGACGCGAAAGCGUGGGGAGCAAACAGG